rnacentral:sRNA from 1 species
AACAAAAUGAAGAAAAAUCCAUAGUUAUUGAGUAAAAUAAUUCGUGUGCGCGUACGAGAGUCGAGUGUCGAAUCGUCGUUCGUUCGGUUGUCAAUGUUGCGUGUAUAAAGCUAACGAAUGAAUUCGUUCGAGCGACGUUCGUUUUCUGAAUUCCAAAUGAAGUCAUGAGCAGCAGAUUGUAUGAAAACCAACAGCAACAACGAAGGCAGCAGCUAAACAACAAGACAAAAGUCGUUGUCGCAUUAUUACAACAAGAAAAGCUGUAAAAUAAAAAAAAAAAG